rnacentral:rRNA from 1 species
AUUGAACGCUGGCGGCAGGCCUAACACAUGCAAGUCGAGCGGAUGAAGGGAGCUUGCUCCUGGAUUCAGCGGCGGACGGGUGGGUAAUGCCUAGGAAUCUGCCUGGUAGUGGGGGAUAACGUCCGGAAACGGGCGCUAAUACCGCAUACGUCCUGAUGGAGAACGUGGGGGAUCUUCGGACCUCACGCUAUCAGCUGAGCCUAGGUCGGAUUAGCUAGUUGGUAGGGUAAAGGCCUACCAAGGCGACGAUCCGUAACUGGUCUGAGAGGAUGAUCAGUCACACUGGAACUGAGACACGGUCCAGACUCCUACGGGAGGCAGCAGUGGGGAAUAUUGGACAAUGGGCGAAAGCCUGAUCCAGCAAUGCCGCGUGUGUGAAGAAGGUCUUCGGAUUGUAAAGCACUUUAAGUUGGGAGGAAGGGCAGUAAGUUAAUACCUUGCUGUUUUGACGUUACCAACAGAAUAAGCACCGGCUAACUUCGUG